GACGAACGCUGGCGGCGCGCUUAACACAUGCAAGUCGAACGGAAAGGCCUGCUUUCCCUUGUGGAUUGCGGGUACUCGAGUGGCGAACGGGUGAGUAACACGUGAGUGAUCUGCCCCCAACUUGGGUAUAAGCCUGGGAAACUGGGUCUAAUUCCCGAUAGGACUGCAGGGUGGUGCCUGUGGUGGAAAACGAUUUUCUAGUGGUUGGGGAUGAGCUCGCGGCCUAUCAGCUUGUUGGUGGGGUAAUGGCCUACCAAGGCGGCGACGGGUAGCCGGCCUGAGAGGGUGGACGGCCACAUUGGGACUGAGAUACGGCCCAGGCUCCUACGGGAGGCAGCAGUGGGGAAUGGUGCACGAUGGGCGGAAGCCUGAUGCAGCGACGCCGCGUGGGGGAUGACGGGCUUCGGGUGGUAAGCUCCUUUCGACCGCGAGGAAGCCACCUGGUUGGAAGGGUGGUGACGGUAGUGGUAGAAGAAGCACCGGCUAACUACGUG
rnacentral:rRNA from 1 species